GCUGCGCGCGCUCCUCCGGGACUUUUAUAUUUUGACGACACUUCUGUGAUAUCCCGGAGGAGCCGAGUGAAAC